AUGGUCGGAUGCCUGAUUCAGGAUUACUUCCCGUCGGGACCUAUGAAUGUGACCUGGAGUGAGAGCGGGGAACAUGUGACCAUCUUAAACUUCCCACCUGCCCAGGCUCCAGGGGGCCUAUACACCAUGAGCAGCCAACUGACCCUGCCAGCUGACCAGUGCAGUGAUGAAAAAUGCCUGACAUGUUACGUGCAGCAUGACUCUAACCCUAUUCAAGAUGUGACUGUGCCCUGCCACAGAGGAAAAGAAAACACCUUCCCACCUCAGGUUCAUCUGCUACCGCCGCCGUCGGAGGAGCUGGCCCUGAACGAGCUAGUGUCACUGACAUGCCUGGUGCGGGGAUUCAACCCCAAGGAGAUAUUGGUGCGCUGGCUGCACGGGAGCCAGGAGCUUCCCCGUGAGGAAUACCUGGUGUGGAAACCCUUAAAGGAGCCAGGCGAGGGCACCAUCACCUUUGCAGUGACCAGUGUACUGCGUGUGACAGCUGCAGCCUGGAAAAAGGGCGACAGCUUCUCCUGCAUGGUGGGCCAUGAAACCUUGCCCUUGACCUUCACGCAGAAGACCAUCGACCGCCUAUCGGAAUGUCGAGAGACACUUCCCUGGGCGAUACUGGACCAGCCACAGGAGCGCCUGGAGGAUGAGGUACCAGGUGCCAACCUGUGGCCCACCACCAUCACCUUCCUCACCCUCUUCCUAUUGAGCCUGUUCUACAGCACGGCACUCACUGUGACAACUGUGAAAGGCAUACCUGGCAACAAAGAGGAACCCCAGUACUGA